rnacentral:rRNA from 1 species
GAUGAACGCUGGCGGCGUGCUUAACACAUGCAAGUCGAACGAGAAGUGAAGACGGAAACCUUCGGGCGGAAGGCUUUAUUUCGAGUGGCGGACGGGUGAGUAACGCGUGGGUAACCUGCCUCAUACAGGGGGAUAACAGUUGGAAACGACUGUUAAUACCGCAUAAGACCACAGCACCGCAUGGUGCGGGGGUAAAAACUCCGGUGGUAUGAGAUGGACCCGCGUCCGAUUAGCCAGUUGGCGGGGUAACGGCCCACCAAAGCGACGAUCGAUAGCCGAUCUGAGAGGAUGACCGGCCACAUUGGGACUGAGACACGGCCCAAACUCCUACGGGAGGCAGCAGUGGGGAAUAUUGCACAAUGGGGGAAACCCUGAUGCAGCGACGCCGCGUGAGUGAAGAAGUAUUUCGGUAUGUAAAGCUCUAUCAGCAGGGAAGAAAAUGACGGUACCUGAGUAAGAAGCCCCGGCUAACUACGUG